rnacentral:rRNA from 1 species
CCUUCCCUCUUUCUUCGUGCUUAACACAUGCAAGUCGAACGGAAAGGCUCCUGCUUGCCGGGGUACUCGAGUGGCGAACGGGUGAGUAACACGUGGGUGAUCUGCCCUGCACUUCGGGAUAAGCCUGGGAAACUGGGUCUAAUACCGGAUAGGACGAUGGUUUGGAUGCCAUUGUGGAAAGGUUUUUCGGUGUGGGAUGAGCUCGCGGCCUAUCAGCUUGUUGGUGGGGUAAUGGCCUACCAAGGCGUCGCCGGGUAGCCGGCCUGAGAGGGUGUACGGCCACAUUGGGACUGAGAUACGGCCCAGACUCCUACGGGAGGCAGCAGUGGGGAAUAUUGCACAAUGGGCGCAAGCCUGAUGCAGCGACGCCGCGUGGGGGAUGACGGCCUUCGGGUUGUAAACUACUUUCGCUAGGGACGAAGCGCAAGUGACGGUACCUGGAGAAGAAGCACCGGCUAACUACGUG